rnacentral:rRNA from 1 species
UACGGGGACCGCAAGGCCUGACACUUCUUGAUAAGCCCGCGGCCUAUCAGCUAGUUGGUGAGGUAACGGCUCACCAAGGCUAAGACGGGUAGCUGGUCUGAGAGGACGACCAGCCUCACUGGAACUGAGACACGGUCCAGACACCUACGGGUGGCAGCAGUCGAGAAUUUUUCUCAAUGGGGGAAAACCCUGAAGGAGCGACGCCGCGUGGGGGAUGAAUGGCUUCGGCCCGUAAACCCCUGUCAUUUGCGAUCAAACCUUACGACCUAACACGUCGUAAGCUGAUAGUAGCGGAAGAGGAAGGGACGGCUAACUCUGUGCCAGCAGCCGCGGUAAUACAGAGGUCCCAAGCGUUGUUCGGAUUCACUGGGCGUAAAGGGUGCGUAGGCGGUCGGGUAAGUCUGACGUGAAAUCUUCAAGCUCAACUUGGAAACUGCGUCGGAUACUAUUCGGCUAGAGGAGUGGAGGGGAGACUGGAAUACUUGGUGUAGCAGUGAAAUGCGUAGAUAUCAAGUGGAACACCAGUGGCGAAG